AUGUGCAUCUCAGUGAACGGGCAGUCGGUGGUGCCGCCGGGGUUCCGAUUCCACCCCACGGAGGAGGAGCUGCUCACCUACUACCUCGCCAAGAAGGUGGCCUCGCAGCGCAUCGACCUCGACGUCAUCCCCGACAUCGAUCUCAACAAGCUCGAGCCAUGGGAUAUCCAAGAGCGCUGCCGGAUCGGAACGGGCCCGCAGAACGACUGGUACCUGUUCAGCCACAAGGACAAGAAGUACCCCACGGGGACGCGCACCAACCGCGCCACCGCCGCCGGGUUCUGGAAGGCCACCGGCCGGGACAAGGCCAUCUACUCCGCGGCCGGCUCCGGCCGCAUUGGCAUGCGCAAGACGCUCGUCUUCUACAAGGGUCGUGCCCCGCGUGGCCACAAGUCUGACUGGAUCAUGCACGAGUACCGCCUCGACGACGCCGUCCCUGUCAACCCCACGGCCGGCGACGCCACCUACAACUCCAGUAACUCAUUCCCGGUUCGCGGCGUGGCCGGAGACCAGUCGCCGUCGGCACAGGAGGACGGGUGGGUCAUCUGUCGGGUGUUCAGGAAGAAGAACAUCGUCGUGCAGCACCAGAACGGCGGCGGCGCCGGUGCCAUGGAGUACAGCCAGAGCAACUGCUCGUCAGCGGUGACCGCCGCCAGCGACAAGGCCAAGGCGCACAUGCACCAGCAGCAGCACCUGCCGCAGAGCGACGACGCGCUCGACCACAUCCUCGGCUACAUGGGCCGCUCAUCCACGACAUCCUGCAAGCAGGAGACCAAGCCCACCAACCCAUCAUCGUCAGCGCUGGACCACCUGAUCAACAGCGCGUGCAACAACGGCACCGGCACCCUGUACGACAAGUUAAUGAAGCUCCCGCCGCUCGAGCACGUCGUCCCCGGCGGGCUCCUGCCGCCGCCGAACGAGUACGACCGCGACUGGGACGCUCUUGACCGGCUGGCGGCGUACGAGCUCAACGGCCUCUCUAACCCUGCGCUGGCCGAGACGACGAACGGCAUGUCCUACAUAGCACACAAGCUCGGUGGCGCCACCUCCUACUCCGGCGGUGGCACGCUACACCCCCCCUCCUUCACCGGGGCCGGCGAUGGUGACUUGUGGAGCCUGGCGCGGCCGGUGUCAUCGCUACACGCAGACUUGACGAUGACCUGGUUUAAUGCUGUCGGAUGCUGA
rnacentral:rRNA from 1 species